rnacentral:rRNA from 1 species
ACAGCAGCAGCCACGGUAAGACGGAGGGUGCUAGCGUUGUUCGGAAUCACUGGGCGUAAAGGGCGCGUAGGCGGCCUGUUAAGUCGGAUGUGAAAGCCCGGGGCUCAACCCCGGAACUGCAUCCGAGACUGGCAGGCUUGAGACCGGGAGAGGAGGGUGGAAUAUCCAGUGUAGAGGUGAAAUUCGUAGAUAUUGGAUGGAACACCGGUGGCGAAAGCGGCUCUCUGGCCCGGAUCUGACGCUGAGGCGCGAAAGCGUGGGGAGCAAACAGGAUUAGAUACCCCAGUAGUCCCUGUCUCUUAUAC